AUUGAACGCUGGCGGAAUGCUUUACACAUGCAAGUCGAACGGUAGAGGGGGCAACCCCUCGAGAGUGGCGAACGGGUGAGUAAUAUAUCGGAACGUGCCCAGUCGUGGGGGAUAACGUAGCGAAAGUUACGCUAAUACCGCAUACGAUCUAAGGAUGAAAGCGGGGGAUCGCAAGACCUCGCGCGAUUGGAGCGGCCGAUAUCAGAUUCGGGAGUUGGUGGGGUCAAGGCUCACCAAGCCAACGAUCUGUAGCUGGUCUGAGAGGACGACCAGACACAUUGGAACGGAGGAACGGUCCGGACUCCUACGGGAGACAGCAGUGGGAAAUUUCGGUCAAGGGACGCAAGUCUGAUCCAGCCAGUCCGCGUGCAGGAUGAAGGCCCUCGGGUUAUAAACUGCUUUUGUACAGAACGAAAAGGUUUCUACUAAUACUAGGAGCUCAUGACGGUACUGUAAGAAUAAGCACCGGCUAACUACGUGCCAGCAGCCGCCGUAA
rnacentral:rRNA from 1 species